GCCUUAAAUGCUCAGAAUCGGCCGUACCAAUAGAUAUUGUAACGGAGAGGACAUCAGAUGUUGAAUUGAAACCAUAUCAUCCAGCUAUAGUGCCAAUGAUACCGGAAAAGGAGCCAAUCAUUUCCAGAAAACAAGAGACGUUUGUAAAAAAGUGACUUCAAUUGUCUGUCUUCGUUAUGGGAAUAAUUUGAUUGUAGAUUUUACAUAUACUAAAAUUACAGAAAAAAAUGAUACUUACAUAUAUUUUUAAAUUAAAUAAAACCCUAUUCUGUGUGAAAUUAAAUUGAAUUAUAGAAGCGCAAAAAAA